rnacentral:rRNA from 1 species
UUUUCAUCAGACAAUCUGUGUGAGCACUGCAAAGUACGCUUCUUUAAGGUAAGGAGGUGAUCCAACCGCAGGUUCCCCUACGGUUACCUUGUUACGACUUCACCCCAGUCAUGAAUCACAAAGUGGUAAGCGCCCUCCCGAAGGUUAAGCUACCUACUUCUUUUGCAACCCACUCCCAUGGUGUGACGGGCGGUGUGUACAAGGCCCGGGAACGUAUUCACCGUGGCAUUCUGAUCCACGAUUACUAGCGAUUCCGACUUCAUGGAGUCGAGUUGCAGACUCCAAUCCGGACUACGACGCACUUUAUGAGGUCCGCUUGCUCUCGCGAGGUCGCUUCUCUUUGUAUGCGCCAUUGUAGCACGUGUGUAGCCCUGGUCGUAAGGGCCAUGAUGACUUGACGUCAUCCCCACCUUCCUCCAGUUUAUCACUGGCAGUCUCCUUUGAGUUCCCGGCCGGACCGCUGGCAACAAAGGAUAAGGGUUGCGCUCGUUGCGGGACUUAACCCAACAUUUCACAACACGAGCUGACGACAGCCAUGCAGCACCUGUCUCACGGUUCCCGAAGGCACAUUCUCAUCUCUGAAAACUUCCGUGGAUGUCAAGACCAGGUAAGGUUCUUCGCGUUGCAUCGAAUUAAACCACAUGCUCCACCGCUUGUGCGGGCCCCCGUCAAUUCAUUUGAGUUUUAACCUUGCGGCCGUACUCCCCAGGCGGUCUACUUAACGCGUUAGCUCCGGAAGCCACGCCUCAAGGGCACAACCUCCAAGUAGACAUCGUUUACGGCGUGGACUACCAGGGUAUCUAAUCCUGUUUGCUCCCCACGCUUUCGCACCUGAGCGUCAGUCUUUGUCCAGGGGGCCGCCUUCGCCACCGGUAUUCCUCCAGAUCUCUACGCAUUUCNNNNNNNNNNNNNNNNNNNNCCCCCCUCUACAAGACUCAAGCCUGCCAGUUUCGAAUGCAGUUCCCAGGUUGAGCCCGGGGAUUUCACAUCCGACUUGACAGACCGCCUGCGUGCGCUUUACGCCCAGUAAUUCCGAUUAACGCUUGCACCCUCCGUAUUACCGCGGCUGCUGGCACGGAGUUAGCCGGUGCUUCUUCUGCGGGUAACGUCAAUUGCUGCGGUUAUUAACCACAACACCUUCCUCCCCGCUGAAAGUACUUUACAACCCGAAGGCCUUCUUCAUACACGCGGCAUGGCUGCAUCAGGCUUGCGCCCAUUGUGCAAUAUUCCCCACUGCUGCCUCCCGUAGGAGUCUGGACCGUGUCUCAGUUCCAGUGUGGCUGGUCAUCCUCUCAGACCAGCUAGGGAUCGUCGCCUUGGUGAGCCGUUACCUCACCAACAAGCUAAUCCCAUCUGGGCACAUCUGAUGGCAAGAGGCCCGAAGGUCCCCCUCUUUGG